rnacentral:rRNA from 1 species
AGCAGCCGCGGUAAUUCCAGCUCCAAUAGCGUAUAUUAAAGUUGUUGCAGUUAAAAAGCUCGUAGUUGAACUUCGGGGUUUACCCAUUGGUCAGGCUUAAUUGUCUGUACUGGUGAGAUAAAUCUCUACCUUCUGAAGAACUUUCAUGCCAUUUAUUUGGUGCGAUUGGAAAUCAGGACUAUUACUUUGAAAAAAUUAGAGUGUUUAAAGCAGGCUAACGUCUGAAUAUAUUAGCAUGGAAUAAUGAAAUAGGACGGCUUGGUUCUAUUUCGUUGGUUUCUAGGAUCACCGUAAUGAUUAAUAGGGAUAGUUGGGGGCAUUAGUAUUCAAUUGUCAGAGGUGAAAUUCUUGGAUUUAUUGAAGACUAACUACUGCGAAAGCAUUUGCCAAGGAUGUUUUCAUUAAUCAAGAACGAAAGUUAGGGGAUCGAAGACGAUCAGAUACCGUCGUAGUCUUAACCAUAAACUAUGCCGACUAGGGAUCGGACGAAGUUAAUUUUAUAAUGACGCGUUCGGCACCUUACG